rnacentral:ncRNA from 1 species
CAAAGGUUUGGUCCUAGCCUUGAGAUCAGUUCUUACUUAAUAUACACAUGCAAGUAUCCGCACCCCUGUGAAAACGCCCUUAACUCCCCUCUAGGGACAAGGAGCUGGUAUCAGGCACGAAAAUCUGCCCAAAACACCUAGCUACGCCACACCCACAAGGGAACUCAGCAGUGAUUAACAUUGAAAAUAAGCGACAGCUUGACUCAGUUAAAGUAAAUAGAGCCGGCAAAUCUGGUGCCAGCCGCCGCGGUUACACCACGUGGCUCAAAUUGAUCUCUAUCGGCGUAAAGCGUGAUUAAAGUUACUUUCAAACUGGGGUUAAACCUGAACUAAGCUGUGACACGCUUGUUCAUGAGAAAGCCAAAAACGAAAGUUACCCCAAUUCUUCAACUUGAACUCACGACAGCUAGGAAACAAACUGGGAUUAGAUACCCCACUAUGCCUAGCCGUAAACUUUUACUUACACUCUCAUCGCCAGGGAACUACGAGCAAAGCUUAAAACCCAAAGGACUUGACGGUACCCCACAUCCACCUAGAGGAGCCUGUCCUAUAAUCGAUAAUCCCCGUUUAACCUCACCAUUUUUAGUUUAUCAGCCUGUAUACCUCCGUCGUCAGCUUACCACGUGAGCGACUAUAAGUGAGCUUAAUGCCCGUUCGACAACACGUCAGGUCAAGGUGCAGCAAAUAAAAUGGGAAGAGAUGGGCUACACUCUCUAACCUAGAAAACACGAAAGACUAUUUAUGAAACCCUAGUCAGAAGGCGGAUUUAGUAGUAAGAAGAGACCAGAAAGCUCUUUUUAACCCGGCACUGGGGUGUGUACACACCGCCCGUCACCCUCUUCAAAGCCCACAAACAGUUCUUAACUCAUCAUUGCUACUCAGAAGAGGCAAGUCGUAACAUGGUAAGUAUACCGGAAGGUGUGCUUGGUAA